CCCUGAUUAAGAAUUCCAACAUAUCUUUUACAUAAGAUUGCAACACAUUCCUAUUACAAUAUGCUAUAAGAAAAUCGUCCUUGCGGUCGUCGAUGAACUCCUGCUUGGCGAACUUGAAGUUUGCUUUUACGUGAAUACUCCUUCAUGAUAUCAUGUGUCAUGUUUUGGAAUAUGUUUUCCUAGCAUACAACAAAUUUAGUUGUGUUCAACCUCAUUUAUAUGCGCCAUGAAAUUGAUUUUUGCUAGGCAUGAUUUUAUCCUACGUUCAACGCAUAGGAUGUGCAUAUAUUGUUCGUGGGGAUCAUAUGUGAUAUAUUUGGUUUUGGUAGCAUGAAUGUAUAUGAUAUGUCAAUUUUAAUAAGUUUUGCAUCAUCACGUUACUACUAUCAUUGCGUAACACAGAUGUGGUGUCCGCGUGUAGCGUGACAGAUUAUAGCUUUCUGACACAAUCUUGAUGUUUUUUAUGGUUCAUGUGAUAUGUGCCCUAUUUGUUUCUUUUGACUUCACACGGUAUCAAAACUAACCACAUGGUGCAAUAAUAUGACACCUAUGUGUAGCCUGACCCAAGUGGAGUCCACCUAUGAUAUUUUUGUUUGUUUAAAGCCUACAUAGGCUACAUGAAAUAUGCUUGCUCAUAUGUUUUGCACGAAAUUUGCAUGCCUAUAUGGAUGUGGCGUGAACAUAUAUUAUUUGAGUUCAGCCUUACUUGUAUUAUUACUAACACCACGUAGCAUUAAGACAAUGCAUACGUGUAGCAUAAUCAAGUGAAGGUGUAUGAAGAAAUUUUCAUAUUGCAUGAGUCGUAUAACAUUUAUCUUUUUUUUUGAACCUUACAUGGUAUUAAAACUAACUCCACAUAGCAUCAUUUGAUUGGCGUCCGUGUGUAGUAUAACCCAAAUAAAGCAAGUUUAUGAUACACAUUUAUGAUGUUUUAUAUGACUUUGGUUGAAAUGUAUGACCCGACUAUUUUAUUUAGGUUUCUCUUACUUGUAUUACUACUAACACCGCGUAACACUCAUACUAUGUCCGCGUGUAGCGUAACCAAGUAAGAUUAGUUUAUGUCAUGUGAUUUUGGUGAUGCUAAUAGUUUAGGCUCGUAUAGCAUUGGAGCAUUUUAUAAAAAUAUUUUUGUAUAACAAUGGCGAGAGUUUAUGGCUUUAACAUUUUAGUUGGAUUUAUCUUACUUGUAUUACUACUAACACCACGUAACACUCAUACUGUGUCCGUGUGUAGCGUAACCAAGUAAGAUGAGUCUUUAUGGCGUGCAUUUGAUGAUGCCAACAGUUUAGGCUCCUAUGGCAUUGGAGCAUUUUAUUUAGUUUAAUCUUGCUUGUAUUACUACUACACCGCGUAACACUAAUAUCGUGUCCGCGUGCAGCGUAACCAAGUAAGACUGGUUUUUAUGAUGCAACAUGUUUUAUAACACAUCUUGCAUGAUUUUGGUAUUUGCAUGUAUAGCAUGAACAUAUUUUUUAGUUAAGUUUUGUCUUGCUUGUAUUACUAUUAACAUCGCGUAGCAUUAGAAUAAUGCCCACGCGUAGUGUAACCAAAUGAAGGCUUCUUUUUCAUAUCUUGUCCGUAUUACAAACAGCGGGACACAUAAUGUUUGCAGUGGAACCGAACAACAAUAAAAUAUCACUUACAUUCAGUUUAGCACAUUCAUUAUUUUGUCCCUACUCAGCCAUAUAAAUUUGUUUACGAUGACCAAACUAAGACAAACUUCAUGUAAUUUUUUACCUUAUGAUAUUCUCCUGACCUGUAUCCACGUAUAGGGACCAAACCAAGGAAUAAUGUGUUCAUCUUGGCUUGUAUCGCUAAGGGGACCGAGCCAAAAGAAAAUCAUGAGGACAGAGUAUAUGUUUCACGCAAAGAACCAUACAUUUUUUUCUUGACUUGUACCGCGAUGGCCGAACCAAAGACAAAAUUUUGAUAUGGAUCGAUGUAACACGCUCCUUGGUUUGUACCACGAUGGCCGAACCAAGGACGAAAAAUCUUAUGGGUAGAUAAAAUGAGCACCUUGGUUUGUACCGUAAUAGCCGAACCAAAGGCUAUAGUUUUGAGGUGAUAUAACAUGCUCCUUGAUUUGUACCACGAUGGCCGAAUCAAAGACAAAUUUGAGGUAAUAUAACAUGCUCCUUGAUUUGUACCGCGAUGGCCGAAUCAAGGACAGAUUUAAGGUAGUAUAACAUGCUCCUUGAUUUGUACCGCGAUGGCCGAAUCAAGGACAAACAUUUGGGAUAGAUGAAACAAGCACCUUGAUCCGUACCGCGAUGGCCGAACCAAGGACUAGAGUUUUGAGAGGAGGAAGGAGAGCUCCCUGCCAUGUACCGCAAUGGCCAAACCAGGGACUAGGGGAGAGCCAUGAUUCCCACCUUGCCACCUGUGCAAGCAGAACGCUGGCCUCCCUGCUUCUUCUUCUUUGUGUGUUCGUACCUGUAUAUGUGUGUGUGUUGCUAGCAGUAACAGAAGGAGACGGCAGGGAGAGAUGAAUGGAUGCGGGACAGAGAGUAAAAUGAGUCCAACCUCCUUGAGCCAACG
rnacentral:lncRNA from 1 species